rnacentral:rRNA from 1 species
AGAGCGCAGGGUGGAUGCCUUGGCACUAAGAGCCGAAGAAAGACGUGAUAAGCUGCGAUAAGCUGCGGGUAGGUGCAGAUAACCUAUGAUCCGCAGAUCUCUGAAUGGGGAAACCCGGCUGGACAAACUCCAGUCAUCCUAACGCCAAUCCAUAACGUUAGGAAGGGAACCCGGUGAACUGAAACAUCUAAGUAGCCGGAGGAAAAGAAAGAAACAUCGAUUUCGUAAGUAGCGGCGAGCGAACGCGAAAGAGGCCAAACCGAGAUGCGUGCAUCUCGGGGUUCGGACCGCAUAAUUGAUUCAUCAAUGACAGCAGAACGGUUUUGGGAAAGCCGGCCAAAGAGGGUGAAAGCCCCGUAAGCGAAGUUAGCGAUGACAUGGCGGGAUCCAGAGUAGGACGAGACACGUGAAACCUUGUCUGAAUGAGCGGAGACCACUCCGUAAGCCUAAAUACUCCUUAGUGACCGAUAGCGCAUAGUACUGUGAAGGAACGGUGAAAAGAACCCCGGGAGGGGAGUGAAAGAGAACCUGAAACCCUGUGUUUACAAGCUGUGGAAGAGCAUUAUUUGCUCAACCGCGUACUUUUUGUAGAACGGUCCGGCGAGUUACGGAUACUGGCGAGGUUAAGUACUUCAUGUACGGAGCCGAAGGGAUACCAAGUCUGAAUAGGGCGAUAAAAGUCAGUGUACGUAGACCCGAAACCGGGUGAUCUAUCCAUGUGCAGGUUGAAGUUGCCGUAAAAGGCAAUGGAGGACCGAACUCACAUCCGUUGAAAAGGGUGGAGAUGACGUGUGGAUAGGGGAGAAAUUCCAAUCGAACCCGGAGAUAGCUGGUUCUCCUCGAAAUAGCUUUAGGGCUAGCCUCGUAUUAGUCUCAUGGAGGUAGAGCACUGAAUUUCCGCGGGGGCGUCAAAGCUUACCAAAGAAUAUCAAACUCCGAAUGCCAUCGAGAUGAUGUACGGGAGUCAGACUGCACGAGAUAAGUUGGGUAGUCAAAAGGGAAAGAGCCCAGACCACCGGCUAAGGUCCCAAAGUGUGUGUUAAGUGGAAAAGGAUGUGGGGUCUCGAAGACAACUAGGAUGUUGGCUCAGAAGCAGCCAUACAUUCAAAGAGUGCGUAACAGCUCACUAGUCGAGAGGCCCUGCGCCGAAAAUGUCCGGGGCUAAAACACAACACCGAAGCCGUGGGUUGGAUGAUGAUCAAUAUUUAUCAUGAGGUUCAGUUAAUGGACUGAUUCUUGACGAAGUCAAGAAUAUGCCAUACAGCUUGAAACCAACAGCGUGGUAGGUAUUGAUCAUCAUCCAACGGUAGAGGAGCAUUCCUUACGUUGACGAAGCUGUACCGAUAAGGAGCAGUGGAGAUAUAGGAAGAGAGAAUGCCGGAAUGAGUAGCGAGAGGAAGGUGAGAAUCCUUCCGGCCGAAUAUCUAAGGUUUCCAGAGUAAAGCUGAUCUGCUCUGGGUAAGUCGGGGCCUAAGGCGAGGUCGAAAGACGUAGUCGAUGGACAACAGGUUGAGAUUCCUGUACCUUAUACAAACAGAACUGUGGGGACGCAGAGACAAAGCACGAGCCGGGAAUGGAAAAACCGGUAGAAGCGUAAUAGGAGGAAGUAGGAAAAUCCGUUUCUGAAUCCGAAGACGUGUAAGGGAGCGAAAUAGAGUAGCGAAGCGUGUGGAGGAGCUGCCGAGAAAAGCCGCUAUAGUGUAUCCAUUGCCCGUACCGUAAACCGACACAGGUGGAUGAGGAGAAGAUCCUAAGGCCGACGGAAGAAGCAUUGUUAAGGAAUUCGGCAAAAUGACCCCGUAACUUCGGGAGAAGGGGUGCCUGCUAACGCAGGCCGCAGAGAAUAGGCUCAAGCAACUGUUUAGCAAAAACACAGGUCUAUGCGAAACCGAAAGGUGAAGUAUAUGGGCUGACGCCUGCCCGGUGCUGGAAGGUUAAGAGGAGAGGUUAGCUUCGGCGAAGCUUUGAAUUCAAGCCCCAGUAAACGGCGGCCGUAACUAUAACGGUCCUAAGGUAGCGAAAUUCCUUGUCGGGUAAGUUCCGACCCGCACGAAAGGCGUAAUGAUUUGAGCACUGUCUCGACAAUGCAUCCGGUGAAAUUGAAGUACCAGUGAAGAUGCUGGUUACCCGCGCCAGGACGGAAAGACCCCAUGGAGCUUUACUCCAGUUUGGUACUGGGAUUCGGUACUGCAUGUACAGGAUAGGUGGGAGACUAAGAAAUAAGGACGCCAGUCUUUAUGGAGUCACUGUUGGGAUACCACCCUUGUAGUAUUGGAUUUCUAACUGCGGCCGUGAUCCGGUCGGGGGACAAUGCCAGGCGGGGAGUUUGACUGGGGCGGUCGCCUCCGAAAGGGUAUCGGAGGCGCUCAAAGGUUCCCUCAGGAUGGUUGGAAACCAUCCAAAGAGUGCAAAGGCAGAAGGGAGCUUGACUGCGACACCGACGGGUGGAGCAGGUACGAAAGUAGGACUUAGUGAUCCGGUGGUAUAAAGUGGGAUUGCCAUCGCUCAACGGAUAAAAGCUACCCUGGGGAUAACAGGCUUAUCACUCCCAAGAGUUCACAUCGACGGAGUGGUUUGGCACCUCGAUGUCGGCUCAUCGCAUCCUGGGGCUGUAGCAGGUCCCAAGGGUUGGGCUGUUCGCCCAUUAAAGCGGUACGCGAGCUGGGUUCAGAACGUCGUGAGACAGUUCGGUCCCUAUCCGGCGCGGGCGGAGGAUAUUUGAGAGGAGCUACCCCUAGUACGAGAGGACCGGGGCGGACGGACCACUGGUGUAUCUGUUGUCGACCAACGGCAUAGCAGAGUAGCCAAGUCUGGAAGGGAUAAACGCUGAAGGCAUCUAAGCGUGAAGCCCCCCUCAAGAUGAGAUAUCCCGUCCUUUAAGGACAUAAGAUCCCUUAU